CUCGUAGGCGGUGAGAAAAGUCGGGUGUGAAAUCCCUCGGCCCAACCGAGGAACUGCGCUCGAAACUGUCUUGCUUGAGGACCGAAGGGGACCACGGAAUUCCUGGUGUAGCGGUGAAAUGCGUUGAUAUCAGGAGGAACACCGGCGGCGAAGGCGGUGGUCUGGUCGGUUUCUGACGCUGAGGAGCGAAAGCUAGGGGAGCAAACG
rnacentral:rRNA from 1 species